UUACGACCACAUCACGUUAGAACAGCGGUUCCCGUAUGAUCACCGAAGUUAAACAACGUCGAGAUUGGUCAGCACCUGGAAGGGUGAAUUCUUGGGAACACCAAAUGCUGUAA